UCUUUAAUUCUUUGUCAUUUUCUCCUUCGAUUUUUAGUCCAAUAAGGAGUUAGGGUUUAAUUUUGGAUUGCUUUUUUACUUGUUUUGGAUUUGAUUGAUUGAUUGAUUGAUUUUGGAGGUGAAGUCACUGGAGGCAGCGGUUCAUCGAUCCUUUCCUGAGAUUUUUGUUCAAAACAAACCACAAUACACGAAUUGAUCGAUAAACCUCUGCAUCCAGCGCUUUCUCUCUUUCUGUUUGGUUGAUGGGAAAUGGGUUAUUUCAAUGCAUUGAUUAAAUUCGAUCUAUUCAUCUUCUUGGCGGUGGAUGCAAGAUUACGAAUCCCAGAUCUCUUCCAAGUAGUAUUUGGUGCUUCCUUGUCUAGUUUCUUGUCUUUUUGUUGCAUAUUGUUAUUUAUUUGGAAGAUAAAGUAAGUUUUAUUCCCCCUGGAGGAAAAAACAGAUGGUUUCUGGUUUGAAAUAUUGAUUUUCUCAAGAGUUUCUUGUUAACUUUUCAAAAUUUCUUUAAGAUUUGCUAAUGGGCAGAUGUUUGUUUUUAUCAGGCAAGUUCAACAGAAUCUGGUUGGAGAAGCAAUUUCUUCCUGUCUUAUUGUAAUUUAUAUCAUUAUCACCAGUUCUGGUUGUUAUGUUCUUGAUGCUGUUGUCCCUUGUUACGGCCCUCUUAAGUAUAUGAUGGCACAAGUCGUAAACAGGAGCGCUUUGGAGUUAGUCCAUGAUCUGGGCAAAGGCGUAUAAUCAUUCUCGGGAAGAAAUUUACCAACUUUGACCAGUGUUUUUCAGGCUUUCUAGUUAAAUUAUUGUUUCUGAUAAUAACUCUGUAUUUACAUGGUUGUGCUGAGUAUUUUUCAAUUCCAUGGAUAUCUUUUCGAGCUGAUUGAAGCCUUGACAUGGUUUGGAUUUUGAAUCAUAGGUUCCAUAUACUGUAAAACAAAUGCCAACCAACCAUCCUCCUUUUUUCUCAAGCAGGUGAUGUAGCAUUUGGUUAUUGAAAAUAAUUUUACAGUAUAAAGGGAAGGUUCAACAAA